rnacentral:rRNA from 1 species
GUGGGGAAUAUUGGACAAUGGGCGAAAGCCUGAUCCAGCAAUGCCGCGUGAGUGAUGAAGGCCUUAGGGUUGUAAAGCUCUUUUACCAGGGAUGAUAAUGACAGUACCUGGAGAAUAAGCUCCGGCUAACUCCGUGCCAGCAGCCGCGGUAAUACGGAGGGAGCUAGCGUUGUUCGGAAUUACUGGGCGUAAAGCGCGCGUAGGCGGUUUAUCAAGUCAGGGGUGAAAUCCCGGGGCUCAACCCCGGAACUGCCCUUGAAACUGGUUCACUAGAAUCAGGGAGAGGCGAGUGGAAUUCCGAGUGUAGAGGUGAAAUUCGUAGAUAUUCGGAAGAACACCAGUGGCGAAGGCGACUCGCUGGACAGGUAUUGACGCUGAGGUGCGAAAGCGUGGGGAGCAAACAGGAUUAGAUACCCGGGUAGUCC